CCUACGGGUGGCAGCAGUUGGGAAUUUUGCACAAUGGACGAAAGUCUGAUGCAGCGACGCCGCGUGGAGGAUGAAGGUCUUCGGAUCGUAAACUCCUUUUACGAGGAGAUAAGUACCUCGUGAAUAAGCACCGGCUAACUCCGUGCCAGCAGCCGCGGUAAUACGGAGGGUGCUAACGUUGUCCGGAAUUACUGGGCGUAAAGAGCAUGUAGGUGGCCAUGUAAGUCAAUGAUGAAAGACCGACGCUUAACGUCGGAUCCGUUCUUGAUACUGCAUGGCUCGAGGAUAGCAGGGGUAUGCGGAACUUUGAGUGUAGGAGUGAAAUCCGUAGAUAUUCAAAGGAACACCAAUGGCGAAGGCAGCAUACUGGGCUAUUCUGACACUGAGAUGCGAAAGCGUGGGGAGCGAACGGGAUUAGAUACCCCUGUAGUC
rnacentral:rRNA from 1 species